UACGGAGGGUGCAAGCGUUAAUCGGAAUUACUGGGCGUAAAGCGUGCGCAGGCGGCUUUGCAAGACAGAUGUGAAAUCCCCGGGCGUCAACCUGGGAACGUGCAUUUGUUGACUGCAUCGCUAGAGUACGGCAGAGGGGGAGUGGAAUUCCGCGUGUAGCAGUGAAAUGCGUAGAUAUGCGGAGGAACACCGAUGGCGAAGGCGACACCU
rnacentral:rRNA from 1 species